UGGUCCCGGCGGUUCGAUGAAGCGCCGGCGCCGGCUUGAGAGCAGGGGAGCGAGAAUGCGGGUGUAGACCUGCCUUAACGCCCCCACAGCCUGCGUGCGCUGUCUUCCCGCCCCGUCAGAUCACGGGGUGGGAGGUGUGGACGCAGGUGCAUGCCCCCCUCCCUUUUGCCCGGCGGUGCCUGCUUCCUCCGGGCCACCCUCCCGCCCUCGGCCCUGCGGGCACUGCCUCUGUCCCCGUCACUCCCCGUCGCCCAGCACCUGCGCGGCUGCAGGGAGCCUCGCCCUCUCGGGGGCCUCCGGAGCUGGCGGGAUCGCCAGCACAGCCUUCGCUCGGGCCGCAGCUGCUGCCCGGAAAAUCCGGCUUUGUCCACACUGCCACCCCACUGGUGCCUUCCAAUAGCCAGCCCGAGGAUCAAAGCUCGGAUCCAGUCUGUUGCUUCUGUUACCACACACGUGACAGACUGGCCUCCUCUGGGUGUUCCUCUGCUACAAUCUGUGUGGCCUGUCGAGGACUUUUCUGAGCAAGUGAACGAGAAAACACUUCCCCUGUAAGUGGCACCAGAAUGUUCCUGUGGUUGAAGAACCAUCCCCAGGCCUGUCCUGCUCGCUUUCAUCCGGCAGAUAAGCAGCGGCCUCGGAGGCUGGCCCGCAGGAAGGGGAGGAAGAGGCCUGCUUCUGAGUCAUCCUGUUAUCACAGCGUUUGAACGAGGGGACAGCACGAAAUCCUUUCUCGUGCUCGAGGCUUCCUGUCGGCGUUUGCUGGAGUUUCGGCUCUUUUUUUGGCUGGAGAAAAGUUGCUGUUUUUGUCCUGCUUCCUGUGGCUCUUCAUAAACCGAAAGGACGUGCUCCAGGUUCAGGGCCAGUGACCCUGGUUUAAGGGGAAAAGAACGCGCUUGGGCUCCGUCGGGGCAGGGCCGAGGGCCUGCCCUGGGCCUGCAG
rnacentral:lncRNA from 1 species